CAAAAAGACUCCAAAAAUACAGAGAGCCAUUAAUCUGUAUCAGAUUCUUGCGUGCUCUCUCUCCCCAUCCAUCAUAUACAUGCAUGUUUUUUAAUACAUCCCCAAGCCCUUUUUUCAUCUGCUUAUGCAGGGUUAGAAUCUGGGGCACCCUGGUAUCUUCCUGUAUCCUAUGCUCUUGCUGCCUACCGUUUUUGGGGUUCACUGACAAAUCCUUGCUGACUGGAGUCGGGGUGUGUGGAGUGGAUCACUUCAAUUCAUGCCAGGAGAAGAAUCAUUAGAUUCUAAAUGCAUUCAGAAGACAGGGGGCAGAGAGACAGACUCGGAGGAUCACAGAGGCUCCUCAAAGCUGGUUUUGCAAAGCUGUGACAGAAAGCCUCAGAAAAGCACUGGAAGGCUGGCUUCUGCUUCAAUCUAUCAUGAGAAGCCAUCAAGAUGUUGCCUUUCUUGUACUGCCAUUAAAAAUGCAACAUCUGGCUUUAA
rnacentral:lncRNA from 1 species